CCAUGAGAAGUGAGAUGGAGACCCAGCAGCCGCCCGCCGCCCCCGUCCCUGCCCUCAGCACUGCUGACACCAAGCCCGGCUCUGCAGGGAGUGGCAGCCCGGGUGGCCUCACAUCGGCGGCACCUGCUGGCGGGGAUAAGAAGGUCAUCACAACGAAGGUUUUGGGAACAGUAAAAUGGUUCAAUGUAAGGAACGAAUACGGUUUCAUCGACAGCAAUGACACCAAGGAAGACGUAUUUGUACACCAGACUGCCACAAAGAAGAAUAACCCCAGGAAGUACCUUUGCAGUGUAGGAGAUGGAGAGACUGCGGAGUUUGAUGUUGUUGAAGCAGAAAAGGGUGCGGAGGCAGCAAAUGGUACAGGACCUGGUGGAGUUCCAGUUCAAGGCAGUAAAUACGCAGCAGACCACCGUAACCAUUAUAGAUGCUAUCCACGUCGUAAGGGUCCUCCACGCAAUUACCAGCAAAAUUACCAGAAUAGUGAGAGUGGGGAAAAGAGCAAGGGAUCAGAAAGCACUCCUGAAGGCCAAGCCCAACAACACUGGCCCUAUCACAGGUGAAGGUUCCCACCUUACUACUUGAGACCCUAUGGGCGUCGACCACAGUAUUCCAACCCUCCUGUGCAAGGAGAAGUGAUGGAGGGUGCUGACAACCAGGGUGCAGGAGGGCAAGGCAGACCAGUGAGAUAGAAUAUGUAUCGGGGCUACAGACCACGAUUCCGCAAGGUUCCCUCUUUGCCAAAGACAGCCUAGAGAGGAUGGCAAUGAAGAAGACAAGGAAAAUCAAGGAGAUGAGACCCAAGGUCAGCACCCACCUCAACGUUGGUACUGCCACAACUUCGAUUACCGACACAGACGCCCGGAGGACCCUAAACCACAAGACGGCAGAGACAAAAGCAGCCGAUCCUCCAGCUGAGAAUUCGUCUGCUCCCAGGACUGAGCAGGGCGGGGCUGAGUAAAUGCCUGUUUAUCAUCUCUACCAUCAUCCGGUUUGGUCAUUCAACAAGAAGAAAUGAUAUGAAAUUCCAGCAAUAA